GCCCGGGUGAUGGAACUGGUAGACAUACAGGACUUAAAAUCCUGGGAAGGAAACUUCGUGGGGGUUCGAGUCCCCCCCCGGGUA
rnacentral:tRNA from 1 species